GCGGGGCGAGAGAAAGGCCGCGCUUCUCUGUCACCGCGAGGCUGGAAGCAUGGACUUCAGGCUGCACUUUGGAUCUGCGGCUUCUGAAAUCCUGGGAAAGGCCUUGGGUUUGGCGCUGUUCUUGUUUAUUGCUAUUGCUUUACCAAUUAAAAUUUUUGUUCUUUU
rnacentral:sRNA from 1 species